CCAGACUCCUACGGGAGGCAGCAGUGGGGGAUAUUGCACAAUGGGGGGAACCCUGAUGCAGCGACGCCGCGUGGGUGAAGAAGCGCCUCGGCGCGUAAAGCCCUGUCAGCAGGGAAGAAAAUGACGGUACCUGAAGAAGAAGCCCCGGCUAACUACGUGCCAGCAGCCGCGGUAAUACGGAGGAUGCGAGCGUUAUCCGGAUUUAUUGGGUUUAAAGGGUGCGUAGGCGGUCUGUUAAGUCAGCGGUAAAAUUGCGGGGCCCAACCCCGGCGAGCCGUUGAAACUGGCAGACUUGAGUUGGCGAGAAGUACGCGGAAUGCGCGGUGUAGCGGUGAAAUGCAUAGAUAUCGCGCAGAACUCCGAUUGCGAAGGCAGCGUACCGGCGCCACACUGACGCUGAGGCACGAAAGCGUGGGGAUCGAACAGGAUUAGAUACCCCAGUAGAU
rnacentral:rRNA from 1 species